ensembl:lncRNA
GUGAGCCAGCAGUGUGCCCAGGUGGCCAAGAAGGCCAACAGCAUCCUGGCUUGUUUCAGCAAUAGUGCAGCCAGCAGAGCAGGAGGUGAUCGUCCCUCUGUACUCAGCUCUGAUGAGGCCACAUCUUGAGUGUUGUGUUCAGUUCUGGGCCUCUCACUGCAAGGAGGACAUCAGAGAAGGACAACAGAGCUGUGAGGGCUCUGGAGCACAAGUCUGAUGGGCAGCAGCUGAGAGAACUGGGAUGGGUCAGUCUGGAGAAGAGGAGGCUCAGGGGAGACCUUACUGCUCCCAUACAUCUCUGUGACAGGAGGUUGUGUUGAGGUGGGGUUGGCCUCUGCGACGGCCUUAAAUUGCACAAGGGGAGGUUGUGGAUGCAUAUUAGGAUUCUUUCUUCUGAGAAAAUGUGGCUGGGCACUGGCACAGCUGCCAGGGAGGUGGUGGAGUCACUGUGCCUGGAGGUGUUCCAGAACGGUGGAGAUGUGGCACUGAGGGACCACGGUCAGUGGGGAUGUUGGGGUUGGGCUGAUGGUUGGACUUGGGGAUCUUAGUGGUCUUUUCCAUCUUUAAUGAUUCUGUGAUUCCAUGAAAAUCCGAAAAUCUUGGGCUGACGCUGCUUAACACACAACUCAGCAACACAGGGGCAUGGCUUUGUUAAAACCAAGUUGGAUACUCCAAAGCUGAGGCCUUGGUGUUCCACGCAGAUAACAUAUUCCAUAGCUUAUAUGUUGUGUAUAGAUUUGGACCUCCUGUAAAAAUCUCUUCCUUUUCCCUGUGCCAUCAGUCUGUAUUUAGCAUUAGCUGGAAAAAUAUUUGAAUGGCCUUUCUGUUGUUUCUAGAUGUCAGAUUUUGACGGAAAUGCACGAGCUUAAACCCAGAAGCCCAUACAGCAAAUUGCUGCUGAAAGCUUGCAAGCCUCAAAGAACAAAGUUUGGUUUGGAAAGAGCUUUGACAGAGAUGUAGUUGAACUGGUUCUUGCCUGGACAAAAAAACAUUCCUGCGGUGUGGGUUUCACGUGGAAAGUGAUGGAGGCACCCAGGGGCUCUGCUCCCGUCCUGGAGGUGCUGCUGGGCUGCUCUUGGGCCAAGUCAUAUUUUAAAAGGGACU